CGUCCUGCUCCCGCCACACACACCCAUAUCACACAUGCCGCUCCUCCACCUCUCGCUUCCGCCGCACCGUCUCCUCGUCGGCCGCCGGCGACUAUUCGCCCCGCCGACGCCUCCUCCCUCUCGUAUCUCGAUAAGGGCGGCAGCGUUGAUAUCGUCAGCCGCGGAGGACGGAAGCGAUCUCCCCUUCCCUCCAGAGCGCGCUCCCCACCACCGCGAGCUCGCCGCGGCCGCUGCCUCUGUCGAGCGCGCCUGCCGCCUCUGCGUAGACGUGAAGAGAUCACUUCUUUCAGGUGGAAGGAAGAUUCUUGAAAAGAAUGACCAAAGUCCUGUGACAAUUGCAGAUUUUGGAGUUCAGGCCCUUAUCAGCUUCGAGCUCCAGCAACUGUUUCCAUCAAUACCUCUGGUGGCAGAAGAGGACUCAACAUUUCUGAAGUCAUCUAAUCCUGAUGAUAACAGUGGUAAUGUACUCAUUGAGUCAAUUUCAAGUGCUGUCACAGACAAAGUGAAAAAUAGUGGUUCACCUUUAACUCAUGAUGAUGUGUUGAGAGCUAUUGAUAGAGGAGGCAAGGAUGCUGUCUCCUUUGAUUCAAAUCCUGCUACUUAUUGGGUAAACUGCCAAGGUUUCAUUAAUCGCAUAUCAGGAUCUGUAGAAGUUCGUUCCACUGAGUUAUCAUGAUGCUGCGGUUUUGAAGGUACUUGAUCCAAUUGAUGGCACUAAAGGUUUCUUGAAAGGAGAUGAUGCUCUGUAUGUGGUACAGCUCUCUGUUUAUUUGUUUCUUUUUGCUUGAAUGAACGGCAGAAGCUCUUCCUAAUUAUUUUAUGGGAGGGAAAGAUUAUGUACAGGGGGCUAAAAGACAAACAGCUAGGUGCCAAAACUAUUUAAUCUGUACAGGAGCUUGCAGAAACAGCAUUAGGCUGGCUGAGCUAAGUAGGUAGCUAGCAGUCUAUCAUUGCUCCAUCCCAUUGUUCAUUGUCCUCAUGAACUUCGCGUGCAUUCUAUCUUGGACUUAAGGGUUGAUUCUGCAAGAUUCUACUACUCCUCUACUUGCAUACAUUCUACCAGCUAUGCAUAACUAACCCAAUGGAGUCAUUCGACACCUUUCUUUUGAAAAUUGUACCUUUCUCUUGUCACAAAGCUGACAGGGAAACCAAGUUGUAAGAGUCCACAAUAUUCAUGAUGUCACAGCCUAGCCAGCUGAGUACUGUAUUCCGCACAAAUUUAGCAACAAGGAGCAUAACAGGCAUAGUUGGAACACCGUUUUCUGUGAUGUGUCAGUGCGGGGCAAGAUUGUUCCUGAAGGCCAUCCUCUCUUGGUGGGGUGGUUCUGUGUUCAUUAUAAGGCUUAUCACUGGGUAUUGCUGACCGCAUCCUGUUUCUGGGCAUUAUGUGUGUCGGACACUAUUUUCUCAAACACACAUUAAAAUGUGUAUUGUACUAGAAAAUGUCGUGAUGAUGCAUAUUGGACUAUUUAUAUGUGUAGCUUGUCUCUGGGCCUCCAUCAUGUGUUCCCUGUAGCAUAAGCGAUCCAGAUGCAUGUAUCAAAAGCCACAAUCAACAUUAUGAGAUUCAUAGCACGUUGAUGUUUGUAGCUUGAUGAUUUUCCACAUGGUUCCUCACUGAAACAAACCAUAUUUAACAUUGUAACAUCGUCAUUUUAUUUACCGGCGUAAAGUUUUCUUGCAGUUUUUUUUAAUGAAGCACUGUCCUUUUGAAUUUGCAAACUUUGAUAAUACCAAGUUUGACAAAAUAGGAUGUCUGAAUACUUAGUUUGGCAAAUUAGGGUUUGUAAAUACCAUUUUUGUUCGCUCACCUAUGGUAGCUGUUCAGCCUGAAUUUUGCAGGUCCAUGCUUUCUAAAAUUCUAAGUGCUAUCUGGGCAAUAGAUCAUGGUCACUACAUUUUCGUAUUCUUUUUAUUCUGAUAUGAAGCUAUUCUUGCUUUGUCUUAAGGUCGGUUUGGCUCUUGUGGUGAACGGAAAGGUAGCAGUAGGAGUGAUGGGAUGUCCAAAUUGGACCACGGCAAACAAGAAAGAAGAAAAUCUUGAUCCCUGUCCUGGCAAUGGCAUCCUUAUGGUGUCUCAUGUAGGCUGUGGUACUUGGUCUAGGCACUUGUCUCCUGAGAUUGGCCAGCUCACCACAGCACAGGAUGUUUGGAAGAGAUGUUUUGUUGAUGCAUGUUCAGUUGUGCACAUGGCACGCUUCUGCAUUCCGGAUAGCCAAACUUGGAACAUGAUACCAUUAUCCCUCCUCUUUGACUCAACGACGGACGAAUCUGAUACUCGAGAUGAGAAUAAAAUUCUUCUCCGAUAUGCUUGCUGUGGCAGCUUGUGCAAAUAUAUAAUGGUAGCAUCUGGGAGAGCCUCAGUUUUUUUCAGUCGAGCCCGGGUGAACACUCAAAUCAAGGCUUGGGAUCAUGCUGUUGGGAUGAUUUGUGUGCAGGAAGCUGGCGGUCAGAUCAGUGACUGGAGUGGGAAACCGUUGGAUCUUGCAGCUGACCUAACAGGGCGCAGAAUUCUCUACCCUUCAGGCGGUGUUCUUGUGACAAACGGUGCUGUGCACGACAAACUCGUCGAACUGAUAUCAGCAAACCACGAAUAGAUGCAAUGUUUCACAGCUUCAAACAGGAGCACAAUUUUGUUUUGUCUGUAACAUUUUACCGUGUGGACCAACAAUCUGUAUCGGGUCUCGCAUUCAGAGAGGGGAAAAAAACGCAUCCUUGUUCAGAAUAUUUUACAUGAAUCAAACAGCACAGUUCCCUUU
rnacentral:rRNA from 1 species